UGGAAAAGAGGAAUAAAAGAGUUGCUAAUCCGCCAUGGCAAUUCUCAAGAGAAACACAAGGGUUGUAUGCUUGGUGGUGCUUGUGGUCAUGGCCACGACCUUAUUGCCCUUCUCAACUACACAUGGGGCGUGCUUAGUGGCACCGGAAUGCUCGGGUCCCUACCCGAAUGUAAUAUGUGGUGAGUUAUGCGCUCGUUAUGGUUACAGCAAAAAUGGAUACUGCAAAGAUUCAAGAAAUUGUUGUUGUAGUGGCAAAAAAUUAAAAGAGUCGGUCCAGGUGGAUCCUACAACAAAUCCAUAGGAGAGAAACUCUAGAAGCUGCUGCGCCACAAUAUGUAAUUGUGAGAUGAUUAAAUUUGAAAUGAAAUAAGUUUUUAUCCA